rnacentral:rRNA from 1 species
AGUGAACGCUGGCGGUAGGCCUAACACAUGCAAGUCGAACGGCAGCACAGUAAGAGCUUGCUCUUACGGGUGGCGAGUGGCGGACGGGUGCGGAAUACAUCGGAAUCUACUUUUUCGUGGGGGAUAACGUAGGGACACUUACGCUAAUACCGCAUACGACCUACGGGUGAAAGCAGGGGAUCUUCGGACCUUACGCGAUUGAAUGAGCCGAUGUCGGAUUAGCUAGUUGGCGGGGUAAAGGCCCACCAAGGCGACGAUCCGUAGCUGGUCUGAGAGGAUGAUCAGCCACACUGGAACUGAGACACGGUCCAGACUCCUACGGGAGGCAGCAGUGGGGAAUAUUGGACAAUGGGCGCAAGCCUGAUCCAGCCAUGCCGCGUGGGUGAAGAAGGCCUUCGGGUUGUAAAGCCCUUUUGUUGGGAAAGAAAAGCAGCAGGUUAAUACCCCGCUGUUCUGACGGUACCCAAAGAAUAAGCACCGGCUAACUUCGUG